UGGAAGCAGCUUUAACACAGCUGAUGGCAAUCAGUGGGUCAUUUGAGCUACAGCAACUGACACAACAGAUACAGGAAAAAGUUUGGAUUGAAGACUAAAACUCAAGAACUUGAGAAAACACCUGAAGCUCUGGCAACAUCCCUUCGCCGCACCUGAGAGGAAGGAGGAUCCACUUACUUUCAGAGGUUUUGAGGAUUUUGCAUGGGUUAAGGACUCGUUUGGAGACCAAAGAUGGCAAGCUACCCCAGGGAUUGAACGGAACCCCAACUGAAAAAGGGAUUUGAUGAACUUGAAGACUGUACACUAUGGUGUGGUAGGACCAAACUGUCUACUACUAAAGUGACAACAGCAUUCUUGUGACCUCAGUCACAAACAGAAAAUUGAAAUAAGCUGAAAGGCCUGUUUUUGUUUUGGUUUAUAUUGUUUACCCGGGUAAAAAUUGUUGAUUUGUUACUAAAUAUGAGGAGAAAUCCUUUCAAUGCAACAUGUGUAUCUGUGAUUCUUCUGGUGUUGCCUGGUUAUUUUCUUAGGCUCCGUAGUCAUUCCUAAUCUUCUGAAAUAUAGCCCAUAUUGUUAAACUAUUAAUAGUAAAAUUAAGCUAACCUCAGUUAAAGGGUUACACAAUCACCUGAGCUUUUAACUCCCAGCAGCUAAUAGAUUAACUACCUAUCAGUUGUUCUGUCAGAAGCAGAAAAACCACAAACCUGAUGAAAAGCAUCCUGAAGUGUUUUAUUUUGAAAGGGAGUUGUUUUAGUUUUAUGUUGUCUGAUCGACUGUGAUCACAUGACACAACUGUUCUGAUCAUAAACGCUGCUCUCUGAAUGUAAAUACGAGCACCGACUGGUCACCUUAAAUGAUUGUGUUAAUCAGCAGCCACGCUGAUACUAACCAGACUGUGUGUUGAUUGUGUUAUCAGACUGUGUUGCUGGGAUCUCAUACUGUACUGAUACUAACAAAGCCUUAAAAUAGUCUGGAAGUUAACUUGUUGUUCCUCCUCUCAGGUGUCAGUAGUGAUGUCACCGGAUGUCUUAGAAGUGUUUCCAGGUCAAACAGGUCUAAAGGGUGACUGUGGUUCCAUUUUGGGAUCAUACACUGACCCAUGCAACGUCCCAACUAACCCUGCCUCACAGCGCCAUCUAGUGGUAGGUUGUGAAUUAUCAUUGGUUCAGCCGAUGCACACAGCCACCCAGUGCUAGAGUUUAACCUGUCUGUAUGAGAAACUCUGACUCAUUGGUGAUUUUACUCAAUAAUCACAGUUUUUGUCAAAUUUUGAACAUAAAUUUGCUGUGAUAAGUUGUUACGAUUAUGGAAUUCUGCUUCCUUUCUUGGACAAAGGUUUGUUGAACAGUGUGUCUCCUAUCAGCUCCUUGUUGUGUCUCACUCCCACUGUGUCCACACCUCCUAGCCUCGUCGUAAAGGAGGGUCCUCAGCAAUCGUGACACCUCAAGUGGUUGGUUUAAUCAAAUGUACUUUUUGACUUACUAUAAUAUAUUGGAAGUUUAGAGUGUUGCUUGGUCUUAGUUAAAUCCUUUGUUCAUUAUCUGGUUGGUUCUCCUCCAACACUCUUAAAGUGCUUCUCCAGCGAUCGGGGGCUGCUGGGUGGAGGAUGGAGAUGGUGGGUUUAUUAGAGUGAUUUAUGAGGUGUUUGGUGAAUGUGAUGAAAUGGACAUUGUUUACCUGAAGUAGAAAACUGUAAAUACAGUUCAACAGAUAAUAUAAGAUCUACAUUGAUGGUGAAAUAAAUUAAAAUAAUGGUGUUGUAUGCUGUCUGCUGAGAUUCCUGAUUGAUUAUUUACCCAGUGAUUCUUCAUCUGCUCAGUUCUGUUUGUAUCUUGAUUAUUUCCUGUAAUAAAAUCCUUUGUUAAUCUGACCUGUCCCUCCUGUUCCUGUGUUUCUGUACUUUGGGUUCAGACUCUCAGUCGUCACACUGACUGCUAAUGACCAGAGAUGAUCAGGCAGCUCUGUCAACCAGGAACCACGAAUCAAACCACAUCCACAGAAGCUUAACUUCACUUCUUAAACCACAAUCCCCGUUCAGACCUUUCUCUGGCUGGGACGUCGUGGAAACUGCAACAACUCAGAGAUAAAAAGCAACAAAAUGUGGUGCAGGAUAAACUUUUCUAAAUUCACUGCUUCAACACCAGAUAAAUCUGAAUUCUACUGAAUCUGAAUUCAAUCUGAGACAAAGCAGCACCUGAUUAAAAGUGGUCUGAUGGCAGAUUACUGGAAGAGAAGGUUCAUACUGAGAGACGAAACUGAUGGCAGGAACCGGAGAGUUUCAGGCUUACUAGUGGUUCCCAGUGGUAACAUCCAGCAGAACAUCUACCAGAACCUCUGAACAUCUGGACCAUGAAGACUCUGCUGCCUCUCCUGACUCUCUUCUGCCUUCUGACCUUCAGCUCCUCCAGUCAGUUUCUCUCCAUUAAACUGUGAGUCUGACCUCUGAUUAUUGAUUACUGAUCAAUGACUGUGUGUCCCUGCAGGUGUGAUCAGUCCA